rnacentral:rRNA from 1 species
UUGUACACACCGCCCGUCGCUCCUACCGAUUGGGUGUGCUGGUGAAGUGUUCGGAUUGGCGAGAGGCGGUGGCAACACUGUUUCCUGCCGAGAAGUUCAUUAAACCCUCCCACCUAGAGGAAGGAGAAGUCGUAACAAGGUUUCCGUAGGUGAACCUGC